GACGAACGCUGGCGGCGUGCUUAACACAUGCAAGUCGAACGGAAAGGCCCUGCUCUUGUGGGGUGCUCGAGUGGCGAACGGGGGAGUAACACGUGAGUAACCUGCCCUUGACUUUGGGAUAACUUCAGGAAACACGGGCUAAUACCGGAUAGGAGAUCCUGCUGCACGGUGGGGGAUGGUAAGUGUCGGCGGUUGGGGAUGGAAUGGCGGCUUAUCAGCUAGUUGGUGGGGUAGGGGCGUACGAAGGCUGUGAAUGGUAGCCGGCCUGAGAGGGUGACCGGCCACAAUGGGACUGCGAGACGGCCCAGACUGCUACGGUACGCAGCAGUGGGGAAUAUUGCGGAAUGGGCGGAAGCCUGAUGCAGAAAUGCCGCGUGCGGGAUGACGUCCUACGAGUUGAAAACCGCUUUCGACUGUGACGAAGCGUGAGUGACGGUAAUGGGUAAAGAAGCACCGGCUAACUACGUG
rnacentral:rRNA from 1 species